rnacentral:rRNA from 1 species
UACGAAGGGGGCGAGCGUUGUUCGGAUUUACUGGGCGUAAAGGGCGCGCAGGCGGUUCUGUUUGUCGAGUGUGAAAGCCCCGGGCUCAACCUGGGAACUGCGCUCGAAACGGCGGAACUAGAGUUCGGGAGAGGAGAGUGGAACUCCCAGUGUAGAGGUGAAAUUCGUAGAUAUUCGCAAGAACACCAGUGGCGAAGGCGGCUCACUGGCCCGGUACUGACGCUGAGGUGCGAAAGCGUGGGGAGCAAACAGG